rnacentral:rRNA from 1 species
AGAAUCAACGCUGGCGGCGUGCCUAACACAUGCAAGUCGCACGAGAAAGGGACUUCGGUCCUGAGUACAGUGGCGCACGGGUGAGUAACACGUGAAUUAUCUACCUCCGAGUGGGGAAUAACUGAGAGAAAUCUUAGCUAAUACCGCAUAACACUUACGAGUCAAAGCAGCAAUGCGCUUGGAGAGGAGUUCGCGGCAGAUUAGUUAGUUGGCGGGGUAAUGGCCCACAAGACGAUGAUCUGUA